AUUGAACGCUGGCGGCAGGCUUAACACAUGCAAGUCGAGCGGAGCGAGGGUGCUUGCACCUUAGCUUAGCGGCGGACGGGUGAGUAAUGCUUAGGAAUCUGCCUAUUAGUGGGGGACAACAUUCCGAAAGGGAUGCUAAUACCGCAUACGCCCUACGGGGGAAAGCAGGGGAUCUUCGGACCUUGCGCUAAUAGAUGAGCCUAAGUCGGAUUAGCUAGUUGGUGGGGUAAAGGCCUACCAAGGCGACGAUCUGUAGCGGGUCUGAGAGGAUGAGCCGCCACACUGGGACGGAGCCCCGGCCCAGACUCCUACGGGAGGCAGCAGUGGGGAAUAUUGGACAAUGGGGGGAACCCUGAUCCAGCCAUGCCGCGUGUGUGAAGAAGGCCUUUUGGUUGUAAAGCACUUUAAGCGAGGAGGAGGCGCUCUAGGUUAAUACCCUAGAUGCGUGGACGUUACUCGCAGAAUAAGCACCGGCUAACUCUGUGCCAGCAGCCGCGGUAAUAC
rnacentral:rRNA from 1 species